UGAGAGAAGCUGGACAAGCAGGAAAAUCAGGGGAGUGAGGGAGGUUCUCAGGGGCAUCUUGGGGUACUGGCCUUUUUCAGUUUAGGAUUCUUGGUUUAACUCCCACCUUUAUAUGCUUUCCUAUAUAGGGAAAUGGUCCAAUUAGAUUUUUUUCAGGGAUCAGAAGGAACUGAGCUUCUAGUUGGUGAACAGAAAGUGUGGCUGCUAGAGGAAUAAAGGGUGCUCUGGAUUCCAGCUUCCAAGGCGGCCAGUGCCGCUCCUUGUUCAGGACUCAAGGGUGGGGCAGGAUACAGCCUAGAUGUCCCUUGGCCAGUGCCUAGGGACAAACUGGCUUUUCAGGAAGGAGGCUGGUGAGCCAGCAGGUGACCGCAUAAUAAAUUUGUGAGAAUUUAUCUGCCAAGACUGGAAGGAAGGCUCAUCCACAAGCUCUCUGUGUUCUCUAUCCCAGGUGAUGCCGUCGAGAAGCGCAAAGUUUGCAGGCAAGGGAAUUCGCGGCGUGUCUUUUCAUUCUAGGUCUCGGGCAAAAUAUGUCCUUUGAUUGACAAGGCGUGAAGGGGACAGACUCAAGCAUAGAGUUUCCACCAAAGCAGCACCGCGGAGACCCCGCCCUUCCCCCAAAUGCAAUCCAGAAAAUUCUCCUCCACCAAAUAAUAAUUGUCGCAUCCUCAAGGUAUAUACUUUUAUACCAAGUAGUCCUUUGUUUCUCCCCAUAUGUCUUCCACCUGUUUUCUUAUGUUUCUAUGCUGCUGACUCUGUGCUGUGGGCAAUAUUGAAAACGCAUAUGUCACAAUCCCUGCCCUCAAGGAACUUAACCAGACAAUUGGGAAUUGACACCAAAAAAAUGAUAGAGAACCACAAAGAUGGCACAGCCUCAAGACCUAAAUUUCAGACUAUAGUUUGAAAUCCUUUAGUGGAUGGGCUGUAAAAUGAGUUUAAGGGAUCACAAUUGGCAUUAAAAAAAAAGGAAAUAACUCAAACAGCAAAGAUUUGAGUGUCUAUGACAUAGUACAAGUAAGCAUAUUUUUAGUAAAAGUUUGGUUCUGUUUUACAUAGAAAUAUCAUGUUUCUUACCAUAGGUCCUGGUCACAUGUGUUUGAACACUUCUGACAAGCCAGGUGUGAGGUGAGUAUGGUCUGGUGUAUGAAAGAAUGCCAAGGAGAUACAAUCGUUCCUAACUUGUGUUUGAGUCAUGGACCCUGAGGACCAUUUGAGAAUGAUUGCAAGUCCCUCUAGAAAGCAUACAUAUGGCUGACAUUUUGCCUAUGAUCUCAGUAGUUCAUGGACUUUACAACCCGUUCACAGACCUUGGUUAGAUCCCUUU
rnacentral:lncRNA from 1 species